rnacentral:rRNA from 1 species
UACGUAGGGUGCGAGCGUUAAUCGGAAUUACUGGGCGUAAAGGGCGCGCAGGCGGCCAUUCAAGUCAGGCGUGAAAUCCUCCAGCUCAACUGGAGAACUGCCUCGGAUACUGGGUGCCUCGAGUGUGGUAGGGGUGUGCGGAACUAUCGGUGGAGCGGUGAAAUGCGUUGAUAUCGAUAGGAACUCCGGUGGCGAAGGCGGCACACUGGACCACAACUGACGCUGAGGCGCGAAAGCCAGGGGAGCAAACGGG